rnacentral:rRNA from 1 species
AUUAGAAGCUUGCUUCUAUGACGUUAGCGGCGGACGGGUGAGUAACACGUGGGCAACCUGCCUGUAAGACUGGGAUAACUUCGGGAAACCGAAGCUAAUACCGGAUAGGAUCUUCUCCUUCAUGGGAGAUGAUUGAAAGAUGGUUUCGGCUAUCACUUACAGAUGGGCCCGCGGUGCAUUAGCUAGUUGGUGAGGUAACGGCUCACCAAGGCCACGAUGCAUAGCCGACCUGAGAGGGUGAUCGGCCACACUGGGACUGAGACACGGCCCAGACUCCUACGGGAGGCAGCAGUAGGGAAUCUUCCGCAAUGGACGAAAGUCUGACGGAGCAACGCCGCGUGAGUGAUGAAGGCUUUCGGGUCGUAAAACUCUGUUGUUAGGGAAGAACAAGUACGAGAGUAACUGCUCGUACCUUGACGGUACCUAACCAGAAAGCCACGGCUAACUACGUGCCAGCAGCCGCGGUAAUACGUAGGUGGCAAGCGUUAUCCGGAAUUAUUGGGCGUAAAGCGCGCGCAGGCGGUUUCUUAAGUCUGAUGUGAAAGCCCACGGCUCAACCGUGGAGGGUCAUUGGAAACUGGGGAACUUGAGUGCAGAAGAGAAAAGCGGAAUUCCACGUGUAGCGGUGAAAUGCGUAGAGAUGUGGAGGAACACCAGU